GGAGUUUGAUCCUGGCUCAUGAUGAACGCUGGCGGCGUGCUUAACACAUGCAAGUCGAACGAUGAUGGGAGCUUGCUCCUGGAUUAGUGGCGAACGGGUGAGUAACACGUGAGUAACCUGCCCUUAACUCUGGGAUAAGCCUGGGAAACUGGGUCUAAUACCGGAUAUGACUCCUCAUCGCAUGGUGGGGAGUGGAAAGCUUUAUUGAGGUUUUGGAUGGACUCGCGGCCUAUCAGCUUGUUGGUGAGGUAAUGGCUUACCAAGGCGACGACGGGUAGCCGGCCUGAGAGGGUGACCGGCCACACUGGGACUGAGACACGGCCCAGACUCCUACGGGAGGCACCAGUGGGGAAUAUUGCACAAUGGGCGCAAGCCUGAUGCCGCGACUCCGCGUGAGGGAUGACGGCCUUCGGGUUGUAAACCUCUUUCAGUAGGGAAGAAUCUAAAGUGACGGUACCUGCAGAAGAAGCGCCGGCUAACUACGUGCCAGCGGCGGCGAUAAUACUUAUGGCGCAUGUGUUUUCGGAAUUAUUGGGCGUAUUGAGCUCGUAUGCGGUUUGUUGCGACUGCCGCGAAUCUCCGGGGCUCAACUCCGGAUCUGCUCUGCGUACGGUCAGACUAGAGAGAUGUAAUUAAUACUGGUUUUCCUGGGGUACCUUGAUAUGCGCAUAUAUUUCGAUGAUCACCGAUGGCGAAUGUGGUC
rnacentral:rRNA from 1 species